CCGGACAUUGGUAUCUCGUCCAAGGCCAUGUCCAUCAUGAACUCCUUCAUCAACGACAUCUUCGAGAAGCUGGCUGCCGAGGCCGCCAAGCUCGCCCGCUACAACAAGAAGCCCACCAUAACCUCCCGGGAGAUCCAGACUUCGGUGCGCCUCGUCCUUCCUGGCGAGCUCGCCAAGCACGCCGUCUCCGAGGGCACCAAGGCCGUUACCAAGUUUACUUCCUCUUAGAUCGCCGCCGCACGGAGCGACGGCUCUGUUUCGUUUCCUCGUACUUUUAGGCCAGUGCUAAUAGGUUGCUCGAGGAACAAUGUAGUGUGG
rnacentral:lncRNA from 1 species